AAGAUUGCAGGAGCUGACAAGACUCCCUUUAAUCCAGGGCCCUCAUUUUGCAGGUGGAGAAACUGAGGCCCAGAGAAGGUCACCCAGGUACACCAGGGCUCCAGUUCUCCCGUCUGAUGGCUCCAAAAUGAUGUCAUGUACACUGGUCUCUACUUUGCAACUUAAGAUCCUUUGAUCUUUAAGCAAAAAUGAGGAAACUGAGGCGACGGAAGGGCCCAUCUUGCUAUCCAGGGCAGCGACAUGCUCCAAGAGACAAGAACUGCCUGGAAAUGAGUCCAUCAAAUGUAAUGUUAAGUCCCCCUGCUGUGUGCCAGGCCCCAGGGCAGGAGUCUGGGCCAGGAGCACAGAUUUGGAAGUCAUCAGUGCUCGGUGAAGAUCUGAAGCAAAGCCAUCACUCAUCAUUGACACCUUCGUUCAUGACUGCUCCAUCCUAUCCAUCAGCGAGGAGUAUGCAGAACCCUACCACGCCUCACACCUCAGCUGCUUCCACCUGUCCGUAACUUUUGCCUGCAUCAUUGAAGGAGUCUCUUACCCAUUUUUCUGCUUCUGUCUCAGCAGCCAGUGAUCCUAUUAAAAAGAAUCUGUUUAUGGCACGCUGCACAAAUUCCCCAUUCAAUCCCCAUUUCUCUAAUCAUACAUGCCCAAAUCCUCUCAGUGGCUCUUGAGUUCUUACAUGAUCUAGUCCCCUUAAACUCCUGAGCUCAUCUUGUCCUGUCUUUUCUCCUGCUCCAACCAGGCUUCCUCUUCCUGUUCCCUGAACACUCUCUCACCUUGGGGGUUUGGCCUUUGCACUAGAUCUCCUAGCCCGAAAUGCUUUCCCCCAGCUGUCUCCAUGACUCACCCUUCACAACUCAGUGAGGCCUCCCCUGGACGACUAUCUAGAGUUGUCCUCACUCAACAAUCAGUAUCCACUCAUUCCCAUUUCACACACAGCAUGUUUUACUGACUUUUCUUGUUCAUUCUUUGUCUUGCCCCAUGAUGGGAAAGAGAUCUUUCCUAUUUGUUGACUGCAUAUCUCCAGCAUCAGGACCAGUGGCUGACACCUACAUCCAGAGGGGGCUCCAGGAAGGUUGUGGCAUCCAGGCAGCCCCUUCCACACAAGUCCCAGUCAUGCUGACGUGCAGGCCUGUCUGUGGUGUCGCUGAGCCAGCUGCUGUUCUCUCCAGCUCCAGCUCAGGCAGUUGGUGGGCUGGAGAUGGAACUUCUUGCCGGCCUGGUGUGGAUUGUCUUUGCGCUCUACAGACAGGCCUUGUGCCCAAGGUCACCGUCCACACCUUGCUC